UUCAGCAGCAUGGAUACAAAAAAUAAAAUAAAUUGGAACGAUACAGGGAAGAUUAGCAUUGGCUCUGUGAAAGGAUGACAAAUUCGUGAAGCAUUCUAUGUAUAA
ensembl:snRNA U6 U6 spliceosomal RNA